CCUACGGGAGGCAGCAGUGGGGAAUAUUGGACAAUGGGGGGAACCCUGAUCCAGCGACGCCGCGUGAGUGAAGAAGUAUUUCGGUAUGUAAAGCUCUAUCAGCAGGGAAGAAAGAAAUGACGGUACCUGACUAAGAAGCCCCGGCUAACUACGUGCCAGCAGCCGCGGUAAUACGUAGGGGGCAAGCGUUAUCCGGAUUUACUGGGUGUAAAGGGAGCGUAGACGGCGAUGCAAGUCUGAAGUGAAAGGCGGGGCCCAACCCCCGGACUGCUUUGGAAACUGGAUGGCUGGAGUGCAGGAGAGGUAAGUGGAAUUCCUAGGGUAGCGGUGAAAUGCGUAGAGAUUAGGAGGAACACCAGUGGCGAAGGCGGCUUACUGGACUGUAACUGACGUUGAGGCUCGAAAGCGUGGGGAGCAAACAGGAUUAGAUACCCCUGGUAGUC
rnacentral:rRNA from 1 species